rnacentral:rRNA from 1 species
UACGGAGGGGGUUAGCGUUGUUCGGAAUGACUGGGCGUAAAGCGCGCGUAGGCGGAUCAGGAAGUUGGGGGGUGAAAUCCCGGGGCUCAACCCCGGAAUGGCCUUCAAAACUCCUGGUCUUGAGUUCGAGAGAGGUGAGUGGAAUUCCGAGUGUAGAGGUGAAAUUCGUUAGAUAUCUGGAGGAACACCGGUGGCGAAGGCGGCAUCCGUGGACCGGUAUUGACGGCUGAGGCGCGAAAGCUAGGGGAGCAAACAGG